UACAGAGGGUGCAAGCGUUUAAUCGGAAUUACUGGGCGUAAAGCGUGCGUAGACGGUUAUGUAAGUCAGAUGUGAAAAGCCCCGGGCUCAACCUGGGAAUUGCAUUCGAGACUGAAUAGCUAGGGUACGGUAGAGGGAAGUGGAAUUUCCGGUGUAGCGGUGAAAUGCGUAGAUAUCGGAAGGAACAUCAGUGGCGAAAGCGACUUCCUGGACCAGUACCGACGUCAGGCACGAAAGCGUGGGGAGCAAACAGG
rnacentral:rRNA from 1 species